rnacentral:rRNA from 1 species
CCUACGGGCGGCAGCAGUGAGGAAUAUUGGUCAAUGGGCGAGAGCCUGAACCAGCCAAGUCGCGUGAGGGAGUACUGCCCUAUGGGUUGUAAACCUCUUUUGUCGGGGAGCAAAAGCCGGACGUGUCCGGCUGUGAGAGUACCCGAAGAAAAAGCAUGGGCUAACUCCGUGCCAGCAGCCGCGGUAAUACGGGGGAUGCGAGCGUUAUCCGGAUUUAUUGGGUUAAAAGGGGGCGCAGGCGGAUUUUUAAGUCAGCGGUAAAAUCGUGGGGCUCAACCCCAUCCAGCCGUUGAAACUGGGGAUCUAGAGUGUGCGAGAGGGAUGCGGAAUGCGUGGUGUAGCGGUGAAAUGCAUAGAUAUCACGCAGAACCCCGAUUGCGAAGGCAGCAUACCGGUGCACAACUGACGCUCAGGCACGAAAGCGUGGGUAUCGAACAGGAUUAGAUACCCGGGUAGUC